AGUGAGUCUAAGAAAUAAAUCAGAGAUUGAUUUAAGAGUUAUUGAUUAUGUAAUUGGAGUACUGAGUGAUUGAAUUAUAUGAGAAGUUAUUGGAAGAUUGAUUAUGGAUGGAAGAUUAUGAUUAUUUUUUAUUGAGAAUUAUGUAUGUGUAUUUUGAUAAAGGAAGUCUGUAAUUACAAGAAUUCUGUGAAUUCAGAUUGGUUGGAGUGAAGUCUGUUAUUCUUGGUGUUGGAUGGAAUUUAUUGAGUUUUGAGCGGUCUUUUGAAAGUGCAGGAUUGCACAUUGUGGUUA
rnacentral:lncRNA from 1 species